rnacentral:rRNA from 1 species
UACAGAGGGUGCAAGCGUUAUUCGGAGUUAUUGGGCGUAAAGAGCGCGUAGGUGGUUCGAUAAGUCUGGUGUGAAAUCCCUGGACUCAAUCCAGGAAGUGCAUUGGAUACUGUCGAACUAGAGUACAGGAGAGGUAAGCGGAAUUCCAGGUGUAGAGGUGAAAUUCGUAGAUAUCUGGAGGAACAACAGUGGCGAAGGCGGCUUACUGGACUGUAACUGACACUGAGGCGCGAAAGCGUGGGGAGCAAACAGG